UACGUAGGGUGCAAGCGUUAUCCGGAAUUAUUGGGCGUAAAGAGCUCGUAGGCGGUUUGUCGCGUCUGCUGUGAAAACUCGAGGCUCAACCUCGAGAUGUCGGCGGAAACCGUCUGGCUAGAGUCCGGAAGAGGAGAGUGGAAUUCCUGGUGUAGCGGUGAAAUGCGCAGAUAUCAGGAAGAACACCUAUGGCGAAGGCAGCUCUCUGGGACGGUACUGACGCUGAGACGCGAAAGCGUGGGGAGCGAACAGG
rnacentral:rRNA from 1 species